rnacentral:rRNA from 1 species
AGCUCCAAUAGCGUAUAUUAAAGUUGCUGCAGUUAAAAAGCUCGUAGUUGGAUCUCGGGUAUCGUCUCGGUGGUCCUGUUCACGCAGGCACUGCCUUGAUGACCUAACCAAUGGUUGAACGACUCCGAGUGCCCUUCACUGGGUGCUCGUGGGUGGCCAUUGCGUUUACUGUGAAAAAAUUAGAGUGUUCAAAGCAGGCUUCUAUAGCUCGAAUAGUCGUGCAUGGAAUAAUGGAAAAUGACACUGGUGCAUUUCCGUUGGUCUCUGUGACUGGUGUAAUGAUUAAGAGGGACUGCCGGGGGCAUUGGUAUGGCGGGGUUAGAGGUGAAAUUCUUGGAUCCUCGCCAGACCAACAAAAGCGAAAGCAUUUGCCAAGAAUGUCUUCAUUAAUCAAGAACGA